GGUCCGUUUGGAGUUUCUGGUUGCAAGUUUGAUAGUACCAGAGAAAUUUAGUACCGUAAAUCCAUUUUCAUCCAUGAACGCGGCCAAAAUCCAAUGAAAAGUAAACUUAGUGCCACAGAUACAAUUUCAUCCAUGAACGUAGCCCGGCACAAAUCCAAAGAAAAUCAAUGGCUAGGCAAUCGGACAGCAAACCGAGUAUAUUGGCAUGAACAUCAUGCAGCAAAACAAGAACAGUAGAGUACUACAAGCAAGGAGGAAAAGAAACACGCACACAAUGAACUAACAGAGUUUACUUGGGCGAGGGCGAGAGCCCUGGCGGCGGCGCCGGCGGCGCGAACUGCUGCGACGCCGCGGCGCGGCCUCGGUUCCGGCCGAGCAGGUAGCACCCGACGGCCAGGAGGAUCAGCAGGAGGAUCGCUGGGAUGGAGAUCACAACCUCGAGCAUGACUGAACCUGCUCCAGCCCCUUCUUCCUGGCGGGCGUCCUCAGCUCUUCUCCGUAAAGCUGCUAUGCUAGAAGAAACAAGGGACAACCACCGACGCGAGGAGAUAUACAGGCGGGGGCCAACCAAUCCAGAGGAGGUAGGAUCGCGACGGCCAGCUCCGCGGAUUGCUUCGGCUUCGGCACCAGCGCGAGCGAUUGUUUGACGCUUGGGAACCAAGUGACGUACAGGCCUGCACUCUGGAUUGUCUACCGAUGGUCAAGUUGUGUGGCAGAUGCUAGGAGACGCCAGGAAAGGAUCGGUGCUUCCAGGGAGGACACGGACCUUGCAACAACCUGACGUCAAACCACUAACCAGUACACGAUUUCACCGUUUCCUGUUCUGGAUUCAGAACGCAAGACUUUGGAGGAUAGGACCACUUUUUAGGUUUUACAACUCCA
rnacentral:lncRNA from 1 species